rnacentral:rRNA from 1 species
UCGGGUGAGUGAUUAAUUGGAAAGCGGCGGACGGGUGAGUAACGCGUGGGUAACCUGCCCUGUACAGAGGAAUAGCCAUUGGAAACGAUGAUUAAUGCCUCAUAAGACCACAGUGACACCUGUCACAGUGGUAAAAACUCCGGUGGUACAGGAUGGACCCGCGUUAGAUUAGCUAGUUGGUGAGGUAAUGGCUCACCAAGGCUACGAUCUAUAGCCGACCUGAGAGGGUGAUCGGCCACACUGGAACUGAGACACGGUCCAGACUCC